UGGGGAAUUUUGGACAAUGGGCGAAAGCCUGAUCCAGCAAUGCCGCGUGUGUGAAGAAGGCAUUCGGGUUGUAAAGCACUUUUGUCCGGAAAGAAAACGCCGUGGUUAAUACCCGUGGCGGAUGACGGUACCGGAAGAAUAAGCACCGGCUAACUACGUGCCAGCAGCCGCGGUAAUACGUAGGGUGCAAGCGUUAAUCGGAAUUACUGGGCGUAAAGCGUGCGCAGGCGGUCCGCUAAGACAGAUGUGAAAUCCCCGGGCUUAACCUGGGAACUGCAUUUGUGACUGGCGGGAUAGAGUAUGGCAGAGGGGGGUAGAAUUCCACGUGUAGCAGUGAAAUGCGUAGAGAUGUGGAGGAAUACCGAUGGCGAAGGCAGCCCCCUGGGCCAAUACUGACGCUCAUGCACGAAAGCGUGGGGAGCAAACAGG
rnacentral:rRNA from 1 species